rnacentral:sRNA from 1 species
UUCAUAUACAUGGAUAGACAUGGGACUUUCUCACAAGUGAGCUUGUUUUAAGUCAUUAAGCUUGACUCUUACAGAGCUUAGUCAGAAAAAAUGUUGAAGAGAGGAAUAUAGAAGUCCUCAUCUUCUGUGGUUGAAUUUUUAGUGCUUGAAUCAUACUCUGCAUCCUCUCUUGAAAUAUGGUAGGAUGAGUACUCAUUUGAUUUUUCUUCAAAGCAAGCUUCUUUCUGAUCAGUAGAGUAGUCUUCUUCUUCUCAACCAGGCUCCUUUGACCAAUCCUCAAGUUCAAAACUGGGGUAGCCUUUAACCAUUUUUUGAAGUUCCUAGAUUGCAUGGUUCAGUCCUUCCAUCUUGUAAGUUAGCUCCCCAAUGGUAUCCUCUUGAGCUUUGUAUUCUAUCCUGAGUUCUAGAAGUUCUUCAGUAACAGAAUCAAGUGUCAAGUGUUCUUCUUCAACAGAGGGGUUGGUGGGCUGUUUAGGCACUCCUGGAGAAUAAGUCAGAAUAGGACUUUCCUCCUCACUCAACAACUUGCUCUCUAGGCUUCUUUCCUCUAAGUGAACUCCUUUCUGAUCUUCUGGUGCAAACCAUUAUGUUGUGAAAUUUUCGUCCUCCUUGAUAGUUAGUGCAGUUUCCAUCUUCUCUCGGUUAAUACCAUUUGAAAACUUUUUAACUCUUUUUUCAAACAUCCAUAAUUGAUCUUUCAGCUUCAUCACUCUUGAAGAUAAUCCUUCUAUGACUCUGCUUUGCCAUUUAAAUUUUUUUCUCAUCUCAUACCAGUCAUCUUCUGUAGGAUCUUCAGUCUGAGAUCGCCUUUCUGUUGCUCUCUUCUUGUGGUCAAAAGUCCUCUUUAGCUUGCUGAGUUGAGAAGUAUAGUUGACUUUUGGUGAGGUUCUAGCUUUUGCUUCUUUAUCAAUAUCCAUGUCCUGAAUCCCAAAAUUCUGAACUCCUGUUGUUGAUUUCCCAGAAGCUUCUCUGAUGUCAAACUUCAUCUUGAUGCCUUUUUCAAGGUUCAGAUUAAUUUUUCCAUUCCUGACAUCCAUGACUGCUCCAGCUGAAGCUAGGAAUGGUCUGCCUAGGAUCAGGGGAUUCUUGCCUUCUUCAUCUACGUCCAAUACCACAAAAUCUGUAGGUAUCUCAACAUUUCCAAUCUUAACAGGCAGAUUCUCUAUGAGACCGUGAGGAUGUGCAACAGAACCAUCAGCUAAGAAUAAAGCUAAGUUGCAGAACUUGAAUUCUAUGAUCCCUAGCCUUUUAGCUGUAGAGAGAGGCAUAAGGCUAACAGAUGCUCCCAAAUCACAAAGGCACCUAUUGAAUGUCAAUGGUCCUAAAGAGCAUGGAAGAGUGAAUGAACCGGGAUCAUCAAGCUUUUCUUGGAUGACUUUCUUCUUGUAUAUUUCUUGAGUGCUGGAACUGCUAAUCAUCUUUUGAUUCUGCUCUUUCUUGAGUUUUUCAAUUUUGAAUCUUUUUCCGGAAUGUUGAGUAUUCAGCAAAGGUGUGUGCUCUAUAGUCUAGAUGGAUUGCUGAGUGGCAGGUGCAGCAAUUUGAGUUGAAUCCCCCCCUUCUUGAAUCAUACUGUCCUCAGUAUUGAGAGUCUGAUGACUUGGUGGAGACUCAUCUUCUUGGUGGAUGGUGAUAGCAUUUGCUGUAGCAUAGUCCUUAGGAUUCUGGACUGCUUUCCCUGGAAGUUGUUGAGGAUGCUUCGGAGCAGAGGUUGAUGCAAAUUGACUCUCCACAUACUUGAUUUUUGAGUUCAAAGCUUCAAACUUGACAUUCAGAUCGUUGUAUGAACAAUCGAUCUUGUUGUGUAAUUCAGCUAUCUUCUUGUCAAAAGCCAUAGCGCCAGUAGCUUACCCUUGGAUGAUCUGUUGAAUGAGUUGCUUAAUUUCAGGAUCUUGAGCUGCUGGGGCUUGUUGUGGUUGUUGAGUGAACCCUGGUGUUGGAUUCUGCUAUUGGUAGC